GAAAUCCGGAUUAAUACCCCAUGGUACUGUAAUGUAGCAUUACAUAGCAGUUAAAGAUUUAUUGGUAAAGGAUGGGCAUGCGUGACAUUAGUUAGUUGGUAAGGUAACGGCUUACCAAGACGAUGAUGUCUAGGGGUUCUGAGAGGAAGGUCCCCCACACUGGUACUGAGACACGGACCAGACUCCUACGGGAGGCAGCAGUAGGGAAUAUUGGUCAAUGGGCGGAAGCCUGAACCAGCCAUGCCGCGUGCAGGAUGACAGCUUUCUGAGUUGUAAACUGCUUUUAUAUAGGAACAAAUAGGCCAUGCGUGGCAAGUUGCGUGUACUAUAUGAAUAAGCACCGGCUAACUCCGUGCCAGCAGCCGCGGUAAUACGGAGGGUGCAAGCGUUGUCCGGAUUUAUUGGGUUUAAAGGGUGCGUAGGUGGCGUGUUAAGUCAGUGGUGAAAGCCUGCAGCUCAACUGUAGAGGUGCCAUUGAUACUGACAUGCUUGAGUAUGGACGAGGUA
rnacentral:rRNA from 1 species